rnacentral:lncRNA from 1 species
UGAACCCGUUUCUGUGAAUGAUCUUCCUGAAUCCAGUUACUUGUGAGUUGCAAAAAAGGAGGCUCAUUCAGUUCUAAGAAGCUCUCUCAUAUUUACGAAAGCCACUGUUCGGGACUCAUCUCAACCCCGAGUCUUUCGCCUCAGAGUAAGUCUCGAGACUGGGGUUUUCGAGAACAUCUGUUGGUUGGCUCGAAUCUAUCUUCUCUAGAAAUUGGUUACCAUGGCGAGGACUAGAGUUGAUCCAUUGCUUCGGGGCAUAACGGUGGCUUCAGUUUUGGUCGUCACCUCGCUCAUUUCUUGUGUUGUUGCGACGGGUACGCAAGAGGAGGCUGCUAUACCAUGCACGUGCACGAUUAACGCUGCUGCAAAAGGCAUAUCAGUUUCAGUCGACGUGACAAAGAAGAGAGCCUCGUUUGUGUGCGAUACGGACAUAGCAUACGUGUGGACAAAUCCAACCACCAACGAGGUCACCACUUAAUUCACCACGACACAACUGAACAAGACGGCAUCCCUAGGCAUCCUCUUUGGAAAGGGGUCAAAACUCUCUGUCACUGGUCAACAGAGGAAGGCCCUUAAAGGCAAUGCAGCAAAAGCAAUGUUGACAGUGGGAGCGAUGCCGCCUACAACAACGACCAUAUACUUCGCGUGCGGCACAGAAGCACAAAAAGUUACAGAUUCAGGCGGAGUGUCGGCCAGUACAGAUGAACGGGAAAACCGUUCGGGACUGGAAGAUCAGAGCACGAGUUUACAUGGAGACAAAGACCCAGGAGGAAAUGGACAGAAUGGAGGGGCCCCAGGGCCUCCUUCAAAUGCCAAUGUGAAUCGCGAGGUCGGUCAUCAGAACAACAAUCCAUCACCAGAUCACUGCGUUGUUACAGUGAAAGUACCUGCGGACCCAAAAAUAGCCACCUGCAAUAUUAAGAAAAAGGACAUGAAUCUGCAAAUCACUAGCGAAACAAAGAGCGUUUCGUUCCAAUGCGACACGCCUAUCUCCACUCUACUUCCUCAAGACCCUUCAGAUUCGAUUUUCGAUGAGUCCAGCAAAAUCUCUUUGAAGCUGUCCGAGAAGCUGCCGUCAGCCAAGUUGGCGACAGCAGCGACUGGUGGCUACUCAUUCAGUGUGGAGGAGCUUCCUGAGACUGAACAAACA